AUGACUCAUGAUUCCGGAAGAUUUGAAAAUAAAGACAGACCAAGAGAUGUAACUGCCAUCUCCAAGAUUUCAGUUACAAUGCUAGCAGCGGUGCUCAGCUUCUUCCUCCUCCUCUUCCUCAGCCCAAAUCUUGCUGAUGAUACAGUGGCAGAGGACAUUGGACCUCACCAGCUGGAGCGGCUGGUGGAGCUGCUGACAGCUCAUGAGUGUGAGGAGCUCAUCUCUGCCAUAUCUCAACCUGAGGAGAGCAUCUUCAAACACUUAGACCGACUAUCUGCAGAAAGGAACCAGUUACUGCAUUCAAGAAGACGCAGAAACACAGAACAGAAGGACCCCUGUCACUCAGCGCUUAAGGACUGGCUGCAGAUUCACGGCAAGCAGAUAUACUAUGACAGGCUGUCUCGUGCACUGCAACAGAUCGGCAGGACUGACAUUGCCAUAGAGGUGGGUAAGAACAUCAACCAGGACAAAACUCUUGCUAUCCAGAGAUAUGUGGACGGCUAUCAUGAACUUGUUAACCAAAUGGCCACUCACCUGGAGAAGCAUGCAUCCGAAAAUCAUGAAGACCAUGAGGAGGUGCUACAUUACUCUGCAAAACAGGCAAGCAGCCAAGAACUCAUCUUUACAGCAGAAUGAAGACAAUGCCUUGGUGCAGAUGGGCUCUGUCAGAAAGAAACACAUAACAACAUGGGUACAUUGACAUUCUCUCUGACACUUGCUAUUUUUGGUUGUCCCUCACACACAUAUAAAUGUCACAAAUGAAUUCUGUCUCUCUCACACAUGCAUGAAAACAGAUGGAGACAUAUCAUAACAGACUCAUCCAUGCAUUGAUGCAACGUCUCAUCCAAAAGUCUGAACUUCAAAUAAGAUUAUGUAGACAUUUUUGCAUCAUCUGACAUGCUAAAGCAGCAUAAAAUGUGCUUGUAUGCAAUUCCAAUUUAUAAAUUACACAUCAUAUUUGACAUUUAAAAUAAUAUGUUUUGUCAACCGAAACAAAUAUUUAAAGUUUGUCAGGUUCACAAAAUCUAAAAACAUUAAACAGACUGUACUUCUGUCCCUCACAUCACAUCAAAUAAAACAUGGCA
ensembl:lncRNA